CAGAGAUGUUCCUACGAAGCGAUGGAUUUAUUUUAAGUCACAUGGUUUGUAGAGAGGGAGGAACCUCGAUAUAAAACCAGUCUGAUUUCACUGUUCUCCACUUUGCUGCAGAACUACAACAGGAGGAGGAAGAUGGCAGAGCGACGCAGACGCAGGAAAUCCUGGUGGUGGCCAUUCAUUGAGUCUGAACCUGAACCUGAACCUACGCCUUCUCCCACUUUUAAGGAACCCUGGAGGAAAAUAUCUUGGGGGUGAGUUUACUGACCCAUGCUCAGUGCUCAGUGUUUCCCCUGUUGGCCCAUAUUGUGAUGACGUCUGUAAAACUGUUGAAACUCUCUUCUCCAA